AAGUCGUAACAAGGUUUCCGUAGGUGAACCUGCGGAAGGAUCAUUACUUGUUGCUGUCACCUGCACUCAUACUGCAUCUGAUUUGCAUACAAACAAACACCAAUCUGUGCUCCUUUUUUCUUUUUCCACUCCCUACACCAUUUAUUCUUUAUGUCAACUGAUUCAGUUGAGCGUGGCCAUGCAUUCGUGCUGUCCCCUCUCAUCUGUGGAUCGCCCUUUCGGGGGUGUAUUCACUUUUGUAACAACUCACUGUGGUGAUCCUUCAACCGGUCUCCUCAGUGUACUUGAAACAACUCCUAACAAUGGAUAUCUCGGCUCUC
rnacentral:misc_RNA from 1 species